rnacentral:rRNA from 1 species
GGUUUUUUGAUUUAUAUAAAAAAUCAGGCCUGCCCACUGAAAAUUUGAAGGGCUGCAGUAUUUUGACUGUACAAAGGUAGCAUAAUCAUUAGUCUUUUAAUUAAGGACUGGUAUGAAAGGUUUGACGGAGAUUGACUGUCUCAAUUUUAAAUUAUGAAUUUAAUUUUUAAGGAAAAGAGCUUAAAUAUUACAAAGGGACGAGAAGACCCUAUCAAAUUUCAUUAUUAAUAAGUAAAAUUUUAUUUUGAUAAAAAUUUUAUUUUCUAAAUAAUUUUGCUGGGGCGGCAUGUAAUUAACAUUAUUAAAUUUUAAUAUUUUGUUUAGCGUUAAUAUGAUCCACUUAGUGUGAUAUUAAGAAUAAAUUACUGUAGGGAUAACAGCGUAAUAUUUUUUGAGAGUUCUUAUUGACAAAAAUGUUUGCGACCUCGAUGUUGGAUUAAGAAAUCUUAUUGGUGCAGUAGCUGAUAAAGAGGGUCUGUUCGACCUUUAAAUUCUUACA